AAGUCGUAACAAGGUUUCCGUAGGUGAACCUGCGGAAGGAUCAUUACCGAGAUAGGGUGCCGGCCUAAACCCCCCGGCGCCCGACCUCCAACCCCAUUGUCUACGAUACCUUUGUUGCCUCGGCGGGUCGUCGAGCGCCUAGCGAUAGGCCUCGCCGUCGGCUCCCAGGAGCCCUCGUGCCCCCGCCGAAGGACCGAAAUAAACCACAUUUGAAACCAGCCCCUCUGAGUGAAUAUACAAUACUUCAAAA
rnacentral:misc_RNA from 1 species